GAAAAAAGUUCUAAUUUUCAAUCAAAAAUUCUCAAGUGAAGAUAUCAGAUUUUUUUAAAAAGUCAGUAAGCUUUGUACUUUCUCAUUACUGAAAACUGGGAAACCGAUUAACCUAGGAAAGUAAUUUCUUGCUGCUCCCGACUUUCUAACACCAUCAUAGUUUGGCAGACUAUCAAAAUGGUUGCGGUUACACACUAUUCCCACAACAGUUAUUUCUACGUUAUCGGAAUCGAUUUGAAUUCCAAGGGCUGUAAUUUUGUGUGACUGCAAUGUUUUGUUUUGAUCGAUUAAUAUUACGAUGAUCCACAUUUUGGGGACAAAACUGAUGUGCUGCGCAUAAGAAAAAACCUUCGUGAUCACUCAAAUCCAUUCGAACUUCCUAAUAUCAAAAUCAAAAGUUAUUUUCGUUUAAAUAAGGAAUCAUUUUAUUUUUUACUAAAUGAGAUGAAGUAACGUUACCACAAACUCAAGAAGGCAUUUUAAAUUAUGAUAUUUUAACUUUGAGCUGAAGAAAUCUAUAAUAUCUAUGUGCGAAAAUUGGCGAAAUCGGAUUACAACUACGCUUAUUUCCCAUAUAACAUCAUUUUAAAUUCCAUCUGAUUCUUUCAUUUUCCACUAUGCAAAUCAAGCAAC